UAUGAAGAAUGCUAGCAACUAGUCCAUGUUAGGCACUCCUGCAUUGGGCUCCUGUCCUUGUAUCUUGGAGUAGCUGUUGGUUGCCCACAGAACAGAUGGACAUAAAGACAGACUAGGAAUCUCCAAUCUACUGGACCUUGCUAAAGAAUGUGUGUGCCCCUGAAACUUCCUACAAAAUACAGUGACUGAAAUUAAGCUGCA